rnacentral:lncRNA from 1 species
CCCGCGCCGGGGGCCGCCCGGUCCCUCCGCCCCGCACUCACGGUAGUAGGCGCCGGCGGCGCCGGGCACGGUGACGACGACCGAAGCCUCCUGCGCGGCGGGCCCCGAGCUGACGCGGCACACGUACUCGCCUGAGUCGGCCGCCGACACGCGGACGAGGCGCAGGCGGGAGCCGGAGACCUGCGGGGACGAGACGCGGGGUGGGCACGCGCUCGUCCCCAACGCCGCUGCCACCGCUGCCACCACGGCUCCGUACCUGGCUGUUGGGUGGCAGAGGCGCCCCGCGCCGGUACCAGGCGACGUGGGGACGUCCCUGCCCCGCCACCAUGCAGUUGAGCUCCAGCGUCUGGCCCUCGGCGACGGAGGCGGACGAGGUCUCGAUCCUCACGGGCGGCGUGACGCCCACGGCUGGGGGAGACGGCGGGCGUCAGCGUGCACCGCCGACCCCCUCCCUGCUGCCGCCGCCCGCGUCCCCCCGCCAUGGCCCCCCGGUACCGUAGGAGGAGCCGGCGCCGCUCUGGAUGGUGACGAGGAGGGAGCUCUCCUGCGUGACGCCCGCCGCGGUGACGCGGCACACGUACUCGCCCGAGUCGGCCGCCGACACCUGCGGGAUGCGCAGCCGGGUGCCCGACACCUGGUGGCCGGCGGGCAGCGAGCCACCGCGCUUGUACCACGUCACCGUGGCCUGGCCCGGACCGGCCACCAUGCAGUCGAGGUCCAGGGUCUGUCCCUCAGCGAUGGAGGGGGACGGGGACUCGACGCGGACGGGCGGCGCGGCGCCUGCGGAGAGACGAGCCGGCCCGUGCCGUGCCAAGCUGCCGGAUCCCCGGCGAAAGACAGGCGAAAGCACCGCGGGGAGCAUCUUACCYGGCAUCGGCACCACCACCACGUCGAUCUUGGCCCGGGCCGUGCCGGCCACGCUGGUGCCGACGCAGAGGUAGACGCCGCUGUCGGCCACCGCGAUGGAGGGGAUCACCAGCGUGGCGAUGUCGGUGCGCUCCGAGCGGGACUGCGGCGAGGGAGGAGGCGGAUGGACGCGGGCACGGGGUGGGGCGUGCAACGGUGCAGCCCRGCGUGCAGUGGGGCAGCCCGGCGUGCAAGCCGCCCCCGUGCAAAAUUUGGCUCACCUGCGGGGGCAAAGCGCCCCCCUGCUUCUCCCAGGAGAUGGUGGCAUCGGGCGCGCCGGAGACGCGGCAGUAGAGCCGCACCGCGGAGCCCUCCUGCACCUCCGUCCGCUCGGGGCUCACCUGCACCUGGGGAGCGCCGGCACC